GACGAAGGGGGCUAGCGUUGUUCGGAAUUACUGGGCGUAAAGCGCGUGUAGGCGGUUGUUCAAGUCGGGUGUGAAAGCCUUGAGCUCAACUCAAGAAAUGCACUCGAUACUGGGCGACUCGAGUGCCGGAGAGGAUAGUGGAAUUCCCAGUGUAGUGGUGAAAUACGUAGAGAUUGGGAAGAACACCAGUGGCGAAGGCGGCUAUCUGGACGGUUACUGACACUGAGGCGCGAAAGCGUGGGGAGCAAACAGG
rnacentral:rRNA from 1 species